UAGUAUAACUCUGGAGAUGACGUCGAGGACGGCAACAAAGAGUCCUUCAUUGAGAAGGAAGCUCAGAAGAUCAGGAAGAAGGGGAAGGCGGCGUACUACAAGAGAGGAAUGUUCAGAUGCCCAUACUGCACCACAAAGCCAAAGCCCAAGGAUGGGAUUUAUGAACACCUCAUGUCGCAUGCACGCGGUUUAGCAACGAGUGCUG
rnacentral:lncRNA from 1 species